GCCACCAUAGCUCAGAAGGUAGAGCGCCUCACUUGUAAUGAGGAAGUCGCGGGUUCGAUUCCUGCUGGUGGCUCAA
rnacentral:tRNA from 2 species